GCUCAGAACGAACGCUGGCGGCAGGCUUAAUCCAUGCAAGUCGCGCGGUAAGUGCUCCUUCGGGAGUACACGAGCGGCGAACGGGUGAGUAACGGGUGGACAACCUGCCUCUUGAAGGAGAACAACAGCGGGAAACUGCUGCUAAUGCUCCGUACCUUCUGUAGUCGCAUGUCCGCAGAAGAAAGGCGCUUCUGGCGUCGUCAAGAGAUGGGUCCGCCUCCCAUUAGCUAGUUGGUGAGAUAACAGCCCACCAAGGCGACGAUGGGUAGCCGAGCUGAGAGGUUGAUCGGCCACACUGGGACUGAGACACGGCCCAGACACCUACGGGUGGCAGCAGGCGGGAAUCUUGCACAAUGGGCGAAAGCUUGAUGCAGCCAUGCCGCGUGGAGGAUGAAGGCCUUCGGGUCGUAAACUCCUUUUCUAAGGGAAGAACACCCCGGGCAGGAAACGGUCCGGGCUUGACGGUACCUUAGGAAUAAGCAACGGCUAACUCCGUGCCAGCAGCCGCGGUAAUACGGAGGUUGCAAGCGUUGUUCGGAAUUACUGGGCGUAAAGGGAGCGCAGGCUGUCAAGUCAGUCUGAAGUGAAAGCCCGGGGCUCAACCUCGGAAGUGCUUUGGAUACUGCUUGGCUUGAGUACGUCAGAGGAAAGCGGAAUUCCUGGUGUAGCGGUGAAAUGCGUAGAUAUCAGGAGGAACACCGGUGGCGAAAGCGGCUUUCUGGGACGUUACUGACGCUGAGGCUCGAAAGCGUGGGGAGCGAACGGGAUUAGAUACCCCGGUAGUCCACGCCGUAAACUUUGUGCACUAGGUGUGGGAGGCGUCGACCCCUCCCGUGCCGAAGCUAACGCAUUAAGUGCACCGCCUGGGGAGUACGGCCGCAAGGCUGAAACUCAAAGGAAUUGACGGGGGCCCGCACAAGCGGUGGAGCAUGUUCUUUAAUUCGAUGCAACGCGAAGAACCUUACCCAGGCUUGACAUCCCGCGCUACCCUUGGAAACAAGGGGUUCCCUUCGGGGACGCGGUGACAGGUGUUGCAUGGCUGUCGUCAGCUCGUGUCGUGAGAUGUUGGGUUAAGUCCCGCAACGAGCGCAACCCUUAUCCCUAGUUACCAGCGGUUCGGCCGGGCACUCUAGGGAGACUGCCGGUGAUAAACCGGAGGAAGGUGGGGAUGACGUCAAGUCAGCAUGGCCCUUAUGUCUGGGGCUAGAAACGUGCUACAAUGGCCGGUACAAAGGGCUGCGAGAUCGCGAGAUCGAGCCAAUCCCAAAAAACCGGUCUCAGUUCGGAUUGUAGUCUGCAACUCGACUGCAUGAAGCUGGGAUCGCUAGUAAUCGCGUAUCAGCCACGACGCGGUGAAUACGUUCCCGGGCCUUGUACACACCGCCCGUCACGUGACCUGAGUCGGGUGGAGCUGACGUCGCUGACCCAACCCGCAAGGGAGGGAGGUGCCUAAGCUCCGUCCGGUAAGGGGGACGAAGUC
rnacentral:rRNA from 1 species